rnacentral:rRNA from 1 species
GAUAAACGCUGGCGGCGCACAUAAGACAUGCAAGUCGAACGGACUUAACCAUUAGUUUACUAUUGGAGCGGUUAGUGGCGGACUGGUGAGUAACACGUAAGCAACCUGCCUAUCAGAGGGGAACAACAGUUAGAAAUGACUGCUAAUACCGCAUAUGCCUAAGUAUCACAUGGUACAAUAGGGAAAGGAGAAAUCCGCUGAUAGAUGGGCUUGCGUCUGAUUAGCUAGUUGGUAAGGUAACGGCUUACCAAGGCGACGAUCAGUAGCCGGACUGAGAGGUUGAACGGCCACAUUGGGACUGAGAUACGGCCCAG